GAGAGCACAUGUGACAAACUGACACUGAGAGCCCAGGACAAACAAUCAACCUGCACACGGGUGGGUCCCCAGCCAACCAGAAUGGAGUAUCAGACUGGGAAUAAAUUGUCUGAACAAUAAUCGUCUGUCUGAAGUUGAAGGGAGCUUGCCAUGUAAACCCAAGGAUUCUGGGGCACUUCUGUUUGGGAGGAUUUACACUGUGCAUCUCCUGUAGAAAACUGUCUCCUCUGAACUGGCCCUUCAUCACCUAACUGCCGACGGUUGUUGCAGGUGAUUCUGGAGGAGUGCUCUCCCAUAGAAGUGCCUACAGAUGGUGCCCGUGGACUGAAUGCACCGACUCACCCUGCGGGCGUGUGGCACGACAUGGUGCGACAUGGGGCAGAGACCCGACUGCUCUGGAAUUUCCUUGCCACCUUCUUUUUCUGCCUCUUGAAGAUGAGCUCUUCCACUGCCCUGUUCCAGCCUUCCUACACUUCACCAUCUACGAGCACAGAAGCUGGGCAGCCAGUUCACCGAGCACCUUAAAUGUGAAUUUUAUUUAGGCCUAGCCCUUUUGAAAGCACUGAAGUAAUGGAAAUUCUCUUAGGUGAGCUUUUUCUGUGUUCUGUCUAUUGUGACCUCUCACUCUGUUGCUGGUGAUUAUUGAAUUAAUUCUCAAAUCACGGUGCAAGAAGAUGUACAAUCCACUUCUUGCUUAAACUCAACUGCCAACUAAGUACAAGUUGGGUUUUGUCUAAUUCAUUUAGUUUUACAACUUCUGCCACCUUCCCAACCAAACAGGAGUUUGAAUGGCAAUGUAUCAUUAGUGAAAUAAAAUAUCUGCUGUGCUAUUUGGGCCUAAGUCA
rnacentral:lncRNA from 1 species